UACGUAGGUGGCAAGCGUUGUCCGGAAUUAUUGGGCGUAAAGCGCGCGCAGGCGGCCUUUUAAGUCUGAUGUGAAAGCCCACGGCUCAACCGUGGAAGGUCAUUGGAAACUGAAAGGCUUGAGUACAGAAGAGGAAAGCGGAAUUCCACGUGUAGCGGCUGAAAUGCGUAGAGAUGUGGAGGAACACCAGUGGCGAAGGCGGCUUCUGGUCUGUAACUGACGCUGAGGCGCGAAAGCGUGGGGAGCAAACAGG
rnacentral:rRNA from 1 species